GGCUCAGGAGGGGCGGAGGGAGGCGAGGCAGGGGGCCACCGCUGAGGGGGGGUUCUUGCCCCCACUUUGCACCACACACUCCUUUCCCCGCCCUGGGGCACGGGCACAAACUCGCUAAAGCCGACCAGGCCGAGCAGUUGAGGAAUGCUGGGUUUGGCGUCAGAAGAGAUGGGACCAGAUAGAAGGGUGUGAAGGAGACCCCAGUAGGGACAGGGUAUUGCAGGUAAAGAAGGGGAAGAAGAGGCCGAGAAGUCAAGGGCCAGGCUGUGAAGGAAAUAAAGGAGGUCAAAGAGAGGUCAUAUCUUCGUACUUCACUUCCUGACACAAACAAGUUUUCACUGUUGUCAGCAACAAAGCCCUAAUAUAGCUGCGGAAGAGAAGAACUGCAUCGCAUUUUGCCUCCUGCAAGCAUCAUCCACAGUUACCAGAGGAAUGUAGUUCCAGAAAGCUUUAAAGCUGGUGGCGAUGGUAAUUAUAUAUCCGAUGCCUGAUUCUAUUUCUGUUAUUAUUGUUUUGUCAUUUCUGUUCUUCUACCCAAGAGCUGGCUAAACUUACACAGGUACAAAUCCGGCUUUUCUGUUUGAUUUGGUAACAUUUGCUUAGACCUAAUGGAGAACUCAUCGCUCUUGUGGAAAAUAAAGUCGGAGCCACGAAAUGUCAUUUUAACAGAGCGUGGGUUUUGAGACUGUGGAAAAGGAUUUAAGGACGCUCCUUCUGUUCGGUUUCCUAUGCAAUGAGCAAAGGCGCGCAGCACGCACAGACGCCACAGCUCCCGGAUGCCCUGGCUGCCUUAUCUGGACUUCGGCAGCGCCAGAAGCCUCUCCGGGAUGCUGCGAGGGGCUCUCGGUGGGUGGUGGUACAAACGCCGCGUCCUCCGCCGCCAGUCCUGCUGCUGUUGUUGCCGCUGCUGCUGCAGUCACGUGGGAGCCCCUUUAAGUUUCCAUAGAGAAGCCUCUCCGGUGUCACAUGAUGGACAUGAUAUAAUGAAACAACGUUGUGGAGAGGAAAGCAUUAGGGGAGCCCAGGCUACGAAAACAAGUGAGUGAGAAGAGGUGGGAGGAAGAGAAACUACGCCACCUCCCCUGCAGCCGAGCCGCGCGCAGCAGCAGCCCGCGAGGAGAAGGGGGCGACCCCAGGAGGUGGAGGGGCGCGCAGGGAGAGCGGGUCCUCAGCCCGGGCCUGGGGCCCCCCGCCGCCCACCGCGGAGGGCGCACAACUUUUAGCCGGCAGCCUCGGCCAGCACUGCACCUGUCUCCGGAGCCUUCUUCACUCCCCGUGAUAACCAAAGGGAAAUUCUAGAAGAACAUGCUGUACAAAUGUACAUGCGCAUCGUUUUCCCCCUUGCGUCUCGCUCUGGAGGAAGGAAAGAGAAAGGGAUUUAAGCAGCGGCGUGGGUUCAGCCCCAAAGUUGGGCAGACUGAAGCUCCCGAAGUUAAAAUGGUCACUGACGGUCUCUGACUGGUACCCAGGUAGGCUGACUCCAGAACUUAUAUUCAACCAUUAUAUAUUCUGCAUUGAAAAUAUACCUUUACUUAAGAACCACCUGUUUGUGUGACAAGGACUGGUUAUAUGUUUGCCUGUAGGCCAGUGUGUUUACGUAGAUGUAUUUGUAUGUUAUGUAUUUUUGUCUGGAAAGUUUUGCUUGUGUUACAGCGAGGAGAAUCUCUGGGUGAAUCCGAAAAGGCCUAUCUAUAGACUACUAACAUUUCAAGGAGUGUUUUUUUUUUAAGAGAAGAGCGAGGGGACCCCAGUAAUUUGAAGAAAACACAUUCUCUGUGUGUUUUUCUUGUUGUUCUUGUUUUGAGACUUGAACAUACAUGUAAAAUGCAGGGUUGAGAGUCCAGAAGAGGCAGGUGUUUUCCAAGGAUUUACGUGGGCAGCCACAGAAGCCCUUUACAUUGCUGGGCAUGGCACAGUUUCGGUGGUCGCAGGCUGGAUGUCCCAGAAAGCACCAGGCAGUGUACAGAGUAGCGUAUAUUCUGCCACAUAAAUUUUUGAGGAAAACAAGUAUUUUGGUCUGCAGUACAGAAGCAAAGCUUCUCCAACCCCUUCUCCCUUUGAUUUAUUUCGUCUCCUGGUCAGAUAAACUCUCGGAAGGAAUAUUUAAAUACAGGGGCAAACCAUUUGUUUUGAAAAUGUGUUCAGUGAUAUAUUUUCUGGGGAUAUUCCGAAUAAAACUCACAGGAAAUACGGGUAUUUCCCUGGCAACAGAGAUGGAGGAAAAUGUCUUUUUCACUAUUUAAUAUGUAUUUCUAAAUGGUACUGUGCCACAAAGAAAUGCCUUGGUGUUCCUACUAGUGAUUGCUAUCUGAUAUUGUGAGUUGUAUGGCAGGCUGAGCAUAUUACUUAUCAGGUUGUAGGGAUUAGUUUUCAUGUUGCUUGCAGUUUUGGUGAGGAAAGUGUACAGACCUACAGAGGCAAGUUUGACAUCAUCCGAGGUAACGUCAUGUUGGGGUCUGGCGUGGAAGGAGCUCUGCAGCCCCGCGGCCCUCCUCCUGGUCUCCUCCCCAGCGACCACCAGAAGCACUGUACUCCAGCAGUUGCCAAACUGCUUGUGGUUCCUCUGCACGGCUCUGCCUAGGUUUCUCUUCUGCUUCUUGCGUACCUCCUUCAGGAAAUUUCCCCUGGUUUCCUCAUAGAAAACAUUUUUAAAAAUACCCCCCCAUGUCUCCUCUACAUUUGUACGUGCAUGCCUCACUGCCUGUAUUACAACAUAUCAUGCUGUUUUUGUCCCUGUGUUAGACACCCCUACCAAACUGAGCUUGUGAAAGGUGCGUAUGGUGGUGCUUUUAUUUACUGUGCAUCACUGGCAUACAGUAGACGAUUAAGUUUAUUGCGUCAGUCUGAAUUGAAUUUGAGUUGCUUUGUUGGUGUUUGCCUGUGUCACCCGUCUUCACUCUUAAUUGUCCUCACCAGCUCUGCUGCCAGUUACGAGGCUCAAACACAUCCUUGCACAGAGAACACAAUACUGCCGGCACGUUCUCAGGAAAGGAAUGGGAAGGACGGGGCGAACCCAGUUUUGCCCUUGUUUCCUAAUUUCGUUCUCAGUUGACCAGUUGGCCAGCACAACUUACCUUGGUCACUGGUGGGCACUGAGAGAGAAGCUCAGCGUGAUCACUUUCGGUUUACUUAGGCGGGAGGAAAUGGCACCGCAUUACCUAAGGACGUGCUUUUACGUGCCUUGGCCGAGUCUAGGUGCUUCAUCACAUUCCAUUGCACUGUAACUUUCAGAUUUGGUGUUACUGGGGGCAUUUUUGAGGCAGCACUGUUCUGUAGAGUUUUCUCAGAUGACAGAAGAAUGGUUAUAAUGAUAUAUUUUGAAUGACUUAGCAGUGAUAGUAGUCACUAGUCACUUGAGGCCAUUGAAUAUUUUGAAAUUUGGUUAGUGUCAGUAGGAAAUAUAUUUCUCAUUGGUUUAAAUGUAAAUAGCUGCAAGUGGUGAGUAGCUACUAUAUCAGACGGUGCAGUUAUAGAUGGUUUGUUUACGUUAGGUCUGGUGUUUGACAGCUAAACACUUAGGCUAAGGUGUUCUGCUUUUAAAAGAAAAAUCUUGAAUCACUUUUUAGGGCUUAACACGAUGCUUCCCAU